CGGUUGAUCCUGCCGGAGGUUACUGCUAUCGGAGUUCGAUUAAGCCAUGCGAGUCUAAAGGUUUCUUCGGAAACCUUGGCGGACUGCUCAGUAACACGUGGAUAACCUACCCUUGGGACUGGGAUAACCCCGGGAAACAGGGGAUAAUACCGGAUAGAUCAGGGAUGCUGGAAUGCGCCCUGAUCCAAAGCUCCGGCGCCCAAGGAUGGGUCUGCGGCCUAUCAGGUUGUAGUGGGUGUAACGUACCUACUAGCCGACGACGGGUACGGGUUGUGAGAGCAAGAGCCCGGAGAUGGAUUCUGAGACACGAAUCCAGGCCCUACGGGGUGCAGCAGGCGCGAAACCUUUACAAUGUGCGAAAGCAUGAUAAGGGAACUCCGAGUGCCAGCAUCUAAUGCUGGCUGUCCUUGUGCCUAAAACGCACAAGAUAGCAAGGGCCGGGUAAGACCGGUGCCAGCCGCCGCGGUAACACCGGCGGCCCGAGUGGUAGCCGCUAUUAUUGGGUCUAAAGGGUCCGUAGCCGGUUCGAUAAGUCCUCUGGGAAAUCUGGUUGCUUAACAAUCAGACUGCCAAGGGAUACUGUCGAACUUGAGACCGGGAGAGGUAAGAGGUACUUCAGGGGUAGGAGUGAAAUCUUGUAAUCCCUGGGGGACCAUCUGUGGCGAAAGGCGUCUUACCAGAACGGGUCUGACGGUGAGGGACGAAAGCUGGGGGCGCAAACCGGAUUAGAUACCCGGGUAGUCCCAGUCGUAAACGAUGCUCGCUAUGUGUC
rnacentral:rRNA from 1 species